GUGGCCCAGUGGUUAGGACACUGCACUUCCACUGCAGAGGGCACAGGUUCGAUCCCAGUC
rnacentral:tRNA from 1 species